UACGUAGGGAGCAAGCGUUGUCCGGAAUCAUUGGGCGUAAAGCGCGCGUAGGCGGCCUCAUAAGUCCGUUGUGAAAGUCAAAGGCUCAACCUUUGAAAGCCGAUGGAUACUGUGAGGCUAGAGUCCGGAAGAGGCGAGUGGAAUCCCUGGUGUAGCGGUGGAAUGCGCAGAUAUCAGGAGGAACACCAAUAGCGAAGGCAGCUCGCUGGGACGGUACUGACGCUAAGGCGCGAAAGCGUGGGGAGCGAACAGG
rnacentral:rRNA from 1 species